GUUAGGAAUAUUGGACAAUGGGCGCAAGCCUGAUCCAGCCAUGCCGCGUGAGUGAUGAAGGCCUUCGGGUUGUAAAGCUCUUUAGUCCACGAAUAUAAUGACUGUAGUGGAAGAAUAAGCACCGGCUAACUUCGUGCCAGCAGCCGCGGUAAUACGAAGGGGGCGAGCGUUAUUCGGAAUCACUGGGCGUAAAGCGUGCGUAGGCUGUUUUGUAAGUCAGAAGUGAAAGCCCAGGGCUUAACCCUGGAAUUGCUUUUGAAACUACAAGACUCGAAUUCGGGAGAGGAUAGCGGAAUUGUCAGUGUAGCAGUGAAAUGCGUAGAUAUUGACAGGAACACCAGUGGCGCAAGCGGCUAUCUGGACCGAUAUUGACGCUGCGGCACGAAAGCGUGGGGAGCAAACAGGAUUAGAAACCCCUGUAGUCC
rnacentral:rRNA from 1 species